UGGCUCAGAUUGAACGCUGGCGGCGUGCUUAACACAUGCAAGUCGAGCGGCAGCGCGGGAGCAAUCCUGGCGGCGAGCGGCGAACGGGUGAGUAAUGCUUCGGAAUCUGCCCUUCAGGUGGGGAAAUAACCAGUCGAAAAGACUGGCUAAUACCGCAUACGAACUGAGGUUGAAAGCAGGGGAUCGCAAGACCUUGCGCUGAUGGAUGAGCCGAAGUCGGAUUAGCUAGUUGGUAGGGUAACGGCCUACCAAGGCGACGAUCCGUAGCUGGUCUGAGAGGACGACCAGCCACACUGGGACUGAGACACGGCCCAGACUCCGUACGGGAGGCAGCAGGUGGGGAAUAUUGGACAAUGGGGGCAACCCUGAUCCAGCGACGCCGCGUGUGUGAAGAAGGCCUGCGGGUUGUAAAGCUCUUUCAGCAGGAACGAAACGGUGGUCCCUAAUACGGACUACUAAUGACGGUACCUGAAGAAGAAGCACCGGCUAACUACGUG
rnacentral:rRNA from 1 species